rnacentral:lncRNA from 1 species
UUGAUGGAUUGAUGGAAAGUGGAUUUGGCUAUGGAGUCCACAAAGCCUCACUGAACACUCUGUUUUCUAUAGGGUGUUAAGAAUGAGCCUGAGGUUGUUGAGAGCUGGUUAUCUGGAGGCUUCUUGGUCUCCUGCGCUCAACAUUUGCUCCUAAUUGUCCCUGGAGAUGAUGAGGCCCAAGGAUUCCACUCUCUGUUCCUUUUGCAGAAUAGACUCAUUAUCUCAUGUAAAAUCCUUCAAAGCAAACUUGAGGAACAUGCAGUAGUUUAAACUGGCUUCAAGCCAUGAUAAAAAAAAAAAAAGUUGGUGAUAUCAUCAAAACAAAUGA